rnacentral:rRNA from 1 species
UACAGAGGUCUCAAGCGUUGUUCGGAAUUACUGGGCGUAAAGGGCGCGUAGGCGGCCUGUUAAGUCGAACGUGAAAUCCCCGGGCUCAACCCGGGAACUGCGUCCGAUACUGGCAGGCUUGAAUCCGGGAGAGGGAUGCGGAAUUCCAGGUGUAGCGGUGAAAUGCGUAGAUAUCUGGAGGAACACCGGUGGCGAAGGCGGCAUCCUGGACCGGUAUUGACGCUGAGGCGCGAAAGCCAGGGGAGCAAAGCGGG